ACAAUCCUAGGCGAGGGUAGUUGCUUCGGCGACUAUGCCAAGUCUAAACUGGCCUCCGGGCCUUUAACCCACUGUGAACUGUUUAUUGACUUUGGUCAGAUUGCGUAUGCGCUGGCCAGUUUAUUUUUCACCUAGUCUUGAUUGUCUUAUUGUAAACUUAAUAUCUA
rnacentral:misc_RNA from 1 species